rnacentral:rRNA from 1 species
GACGAACGCUGGCGGCGUGCUUAACACAUGCAAGUCGAACGGAAAGGCCCUGCUUUUGUGGGGUGCUCGAGUGGCGAACGGGUGAGUAACACGUGAGUAACCUGCCCUUGACUUUGGGAUAACUUCAGGAAACUGGGGCUAAUACCGGAUAGGAGCUCCUGCUGCAUGGUGGGGGUUGGAAAGUUUCGGCGGUUGGGGAUGGACUCGCGGCUUAUCAGCUUGUUGGUGGGGUAGUGGCUUACCAAGGCUUUGACGGGUAGCCGGCCUGAGGGGGUGACCGGCCACAUUGGGACUGAGAUACGGCCCAGACUCCUACGGGAGGCAGCAGUGGGGAAUAAUGCACAAUGGGCGGAAGCCUGAUGCAGCAACGCCGCGUGCGGGAUGACGGCCUUCGGGUUGUAAACCGCUUUCGCCUGUGACGAAGAGUGAGUGACGGUAAUGGGUAAAGAAGCACCGGCUAACUACGUG